rnacentral:rRNA from 1 species
AUUGAACGCUGGCGGCAUGCUUUACACAUGCAAGUCGAACGGCAGCGCGGGCUUCGGCCUGGCGGCGAGUGGCGAACGGGUGAGUAAUGCAUCGGAACGUGCCCAGUAGUGGGGGAUAGCCCGGCGAAAGCCGGAUUAAUACCGCAUACGACCUGAGGGUGAAAGCGGGGGACCGAAAGGCCUCGCGCUAUUGGAGCGGCCGAUGUCGGAUUAGCUAGUUGGUGGGGUAAAGGCUUACCAAGGCGACGAUCCGUAGCUGGUCUGAGAGGACGACCAGCCACACUGGGACUGAGACACGGCCCAGACUCCUACGGGAGGCGGCAGUGGGGAAUUUUGGACAAUGGGGGCAACCCUGAUCCAGCCAUGCCGCGUGCGGGAAGAAGGCCUUCGGGUUGUAAACCGCUUUUGUUCGGGAAGAAAUACUCUGGGCUAAUACCCCGGGGGGAUGACGGUACCGGAAGAAUAAGCACCGGCUAACUACGUG